rnacentral:rRNA from 1 species
UGGCGGACGGGUGAGUAAUGCCUAGGGAUCUGCCCAGUCGAGGGGGAUAACAGUUGGAAACGACUGCUAAUACCGCAUACGCCCUACGGGGGAAAGGAGGGGACCUUCAGGCCUUCCGCGAUUGGAUGAACCUAGGUGGGAUUAGCUAGUUGGUGAGGUAAUGGCUCACCAAGGCGACGACCCCUAGCUGUUCUGAGAGGAUGAUCAGCCACACUGGGACUGAGACACGGCCCAGACUCCUACGGGAGGCAGCAGUGGGGAAUAUUGCACAAUGGGGGAAACCCUGAUGCAGCCAUGCCGCGUGUGUGAAGAAGGCCUUCGGGUUGUAAAGCACUUUCAGUAGGGAGGAAAGGUAAUGGUUUAAUACACCAUUGCUGUGACGUUACCUACAGAAGAAGGACCGGCUAACUCCGUGCCAGCAGCCGCGGUAAU